rnacentral:lncRNA from 1 species
GACAGCCCUUCCCAUUGGCUUAUCUUCACUUCCUCGAUAAGAUGCGCUUAAAUCCCUUCCUGAAGGGCCCCCAGCUAGGAAGUAGCUGAGCCGGCCUCAAACUGGAGACUCCCUCCAGAGCUCAGACUUGGGGUGCAGAGGUUAUUUUUUUUAUUAAUCAUAAAAACCCCAAAUUGCUUGCAUAUCAGGAGGUCCUAGAGGAGCAGCAGAGCAUGUGGCUGAGUGCCUGGGCCGUGGGCUAGACUGGCUGGACGGGAUCCUCCGGUGUGUCACACUGCCUGUCCCUGUCUAGUUACGGGGAACACAGCAAGCUUCCCUCAUAGGAAUAGGAGGCGAUCAUUUGGGUUAAAAACAUUCACAGGGCUGUAGAAUGGCGCCCUACAUAGCACAACAGUCACUGAAAAACCUUUUCACUUGAUGCAUCUCGAUGCAGAAGUCCAAGGUCAAAUUGAAGUCCUGUGUCUGAGACCCAGCACUCGCCAGCACGAAGCUUCUGUAACCCAGGAACCCCACGGCUGACUGAGGUGACUCUGAGUUGUAUCGUGUGGGGACGUGCUCAGUAGCUGUUGGAUCUGAUCUGCAAACAUACGUGACACGACAAGAGAGGAGAGAAUGGAGAGUCAACCCUUCUUGCUGUGCUUCCGUUCCGUGUCAGAGCCCCACGUUUCUGAGCACACCGUGAUCGCUCGUGAACAGGACUUCCAGGAGGUUUACUUAUUUAUUUGAGAUGAGGGGAGAGGCGGACGGAGAAGGAGGGAGAACUCAAGCAGACUUCCCGCUGAGAGAGUGGAGCCCCACUCAGGGCUCCAUCUCACGACCCUGAGAUCAUGACCUGAGCUGAAACCAGGAGUCCA